rnacentral:sRNA from 1 species
AAGAGGAGAUUUUAGAUGUUUUUUGGUAGGUCGACAGAAAUAGCUCUUUGAGGUAAGAUGGGAGUAAGAAGAAAAGUUAGUGGGUUUUAGUUACUUAUUGUGAAAUGUAAAUUGCUCUCUUUUGUGUAAAGCACAUCAAGCAUGUAGCGUUUUAGUUACUUAUUGUGAAAUGUAAAUGCGAUUUUUGUCAAAGGGACAGCGAUGGGUUACAAGUUUUAGUUACUUAUUGUGAAAUGUAAAUUUACCACCAAAGUCCCUACACUCAAUACCACCAAAGCGUUUUAGUUACUUAUUGUGAAAUGUAAAUCGCUCUGACCUGUUCCUUGUGCAACACUCGUUACAGUUUUAGUUACUUAUUGUGA